CCCGGCUCCCGACUCCGGGCGGCGCACGCUGGGGUUCGAGGCAGGGCUCAGCACCUCCCUCCCGUACGACGCCGGGCUGGUCCCUGCCUUGUCCUCGGACUCAGUUUCCCUCCCGGUGGAAUAAGGACCAAUGGGUGGCCCGGAGCAAUCCGGACUUCUGUUCGGCCCCGUCUUGGUCCUAGCAGAUGGGGCAACCUGUGUCCCCACCCUGAACGCCGCGGGGUCCUUGAUUGCGCCUGGUCCCUCAGCGCCCAGCGCAGGGCGGAUUAGCAAGUGGAAUGAACUGGAUAGACGAUGCCAGGCACUGUGCAACGCGGCGGACAAAGAGUGACGACCCCACCUGUCCUUACCCUGUGGGGCUUACAGUCCAGCAGGAACUGAAUCCAGUGACCAGGGAAAUCUAAUCUUCGAGACAUAAGGGGGACUUGACCAUAAGGAACCUUCACCCUUGAGGGCUUUUCUCAUCGUUUUCUACACUUGUUUUCAUGGGCGAGCAGGUUGCUUGCUUGUGAGAAGUCUGACUUGGUAUUCUCAUGUUGGGAUGAUGAAUAGUAUCUCCUUUCUGAGAUUGUUGUGAAAAUUAAAUGAGUUACAUUCACAGUAUGUAUUAACGAUCACUACCAAGUGUCAAGCCUGACCGAAGGCUUGUCAAUUCCAGGACUCAGCUGGUAUCCCCUUAGCUGCAAAUAAGCCCUUAAAUUUGGCUCCUGCAAAUCCAACAAGAGUGAAGAACUCUAUAAUCUUGGUGGAGUUGACUCAACCAGAAACCCCCAAUUCUCAGCCAGACCAGUUCUUUCUAUGCACCAGAUACUUUACUUUCAUUAUAUUCACAACAACCUUGAGAGUGGGGCCUAUUAUUAUUGUUUUACAGAGGAGGAAACUGAGGCACAAACAAAUUAAGUAUCUUGGUCAAGUUCUUAGAAGCUCGUAAGAGGCAUAAUCCAGAGUGCUAUCUCAGUUUGAUUCCAAAGUUUGUGUUAUAACCUGUUACAUCAGUGGGGCAUCAGAUAACUGGCAGGGUGGGGUUGCAGGACAUGCAAGAGGGCCAGGCUCUGAGAGAGUUUCUGAGGAUUGGCUUUUCCAGAAGAAGCACCUGCUAUAGCAGUCAGGCCAAUCCUGGCUUCCUUCUUCUUAGUAAAAAAUGGGUGAAGAGGGAUGUCCUCUUCCUCCACCAUCAUGCUGAGUUUUAUCCCUCCAGAGUCCUUACUCUGAGCACUCAUUCUUUGCUGCCUGCUCCCUCUCACAUGUUAUGGACUGUCUCCCCUAUUAGACCCUAAAUUCCCCCAAGGAGUAGGACACAAGGGCAUCGUUUGCUUUGUCACUCCCUUCGCAGAGUUCUGCCCAGGACCUGGAAUAUAGUAUAUACUUCAUAAAAAGUUAUGAACCGAAUGUGUUCUCCCAAAGUUCAUAGGUCAAAGUCCUAACCCCAGUGUAACUAUUUGCAUGUGGAGCCUUUAGGAGGUAAUUAGGUUUAAGUGAGGUAAUGAAGGUAGGGUACCCAAGAUGAGAUCGGUGCCCUUACAAGAAGAAGAGAAAUAAAAUCUCUCUCUCCCGCUCUCACUCUCGCUCUGCCAUAUGAGGACAUAGCAAGAAGGUGGCCAUUUGCAAGGAGGGAAGAGAGCCCUCACCAGAAAUUGAAUCUGCCAGCACUUUGAUCUUGGCUUUCCCAGCCUCCAGAACUGUGAGAGGUAAAUGUGUGUUGUUUAAUCUUCCUAGUCUAUGGUAUUCUGUUAAAGCAGCUUGAACUAAGAAAAUUACUGAUAGAUAUAUUUUGAGGACUGACUCUUGCUGCCUAAAGCUUCAUCAAUAAAAAUUUAUUGAACAUC